rnacentral:rRNA from 1 species
UGGGGAAUAUUGGACAAUGGGCGCAAGCCUGAUCCAGCCAUGCCGCGUGGAUGAUGAAGGCCCUAGGGUUGUAAAGUCCUUUCGGCGGGGAAGAUAAUGACGGUACCCGCAGAAGAAGCCCCGGCUAACUUCGUGCCAGCAGCCGCGGUAAUACGAAGGGGGCUAGCGUUGCUCGGAAUCACUGGGCGUAAAGCGCACGUAGGCGGACUCUUAAGUCGGUGGUGAAAUCCUGGAGCUCAACUCCAGAACUGCCUUCGAUACUGAGAGUCUCGAGUCCGAGAGAGGUGAGUGGAACUGCGAGUGUAGAGGUGAAAUUCGUAGAUAUUCGCAAGAACACCAGUGGCGAAGGCGGCUCACUGGACAGUUCCUGACGCUGAGGCACGAAGGCCAGGGGAGCAAACGG